AUGGGUGGCCGGUUUACGGAGCACGACACGUUGCUACACUAUGUCGAUGAGGCGGUGGAGGUCGUCGGUGGCUUCACCUUGCCUGACCUGUUUCCCUCGUCGAGGCUAGUGCGCGCCCUCAGCGGCACGUUGCACAGGGCCGAGGUGUUUCGAGACUCCGUGCUAGCGUUCAUUGGACGCGUCAUCGAUGAGCAUGUCGACAGGAGAUCCUCGGAGGAAGCACAAGCACACCAGGAACAAGACAUCAUCGAUGUCCUCUUGAGGAUCCAGAAAGAUGGCAACCUUCAGUUCCCCCUCACCAUGGACAACCUCAAAGUGGUGAUCUUCGUAAGUCAUUUUGACGCAUGCGACUACAAAGGCAACUGCUUCGAGUUUAUACCGUUCGGCGCCGGGCGGCGGAUUUGCCCUGGGAUGCUGUUUGGGGUCGCCAUUGCGGAGCUGGCUCUCGCAAGCCUUCUUUUUCAUUUCGAUUGGACUCUCCCAGAUGGCACUUCUCCUGCUGAUCUUGACAUGACAGAGACCAUGGGAAUCACUGCUAGGAAGAAGGAGGAUCUGCAGUUGCGUGCAGCUCUCCACCUACAGCCUGCGGAAACUUAG
rnacentral:rRNA from 1 species